GUGGCUCGAAGCCGGAGCGGAGGCCGUCGAAUCUUCACCGUGACUCGGCCGGGUGAACGCCGGCCGCCGCCCAACAUGCUGCAUUCCCUGAACGCUCUCGCCGGCAAGAUAUCACCGGGUGGCGGCCUGGACACAAACGCGAAUAGGCACUCGCUGCCUAACAAGAACCACAAGCUGGCGUCACCGUCGUCGCCGUACUCCAAGCCCAAUGGGAUGAAUAUGAACAUCAACAACAACAACAACAACAGCAUAAACAACAACAACAAUGAGGAGAAACCUGACAUGCCUGAUCCCGAUUACAUCAAGAUGUUCGUCGGCCAAGUGCCGAGGAGUAUGGACGAGAAGGACCUCAGGCUCAUGUUCGAGGAGUUUGGUCGCGUGCACCAGAUCAACGUUCUCCGGGACAAGAUCACCGGAGCCAGUAAAGGGUGCUGUUUUGUGACGUUUUUCACACGCAAAGCGGCGUUGAAAGCGCAAGACGCUUUGCACAAUAUCAAAACUCUGAGCGGGAUGCACCAUCCUAUCCAGAUGAAGCCGGCUGACAGUGAAAACAGAAAUGAACGAAAACUCUUCGUGGGCAUGCUCAACAAGAAGCUUUCGGAGAACGACGUACGCGCAUUAUUCGCUGGGCACGGCGCGAUCGAGGAGUGCACGGUGCUGCGGGAUGCGCAAGGGCAGAGUAAGGGAUGCGCCUUCGUCACGUUCGUGUCUAAGCAGGCAGCGAUUGCGGCCAUCAAGGCCCUGCACCACAGUCAAACCAUGGACGGAUGUUCAGCGCCGCUCGUGGUGAAAUUCGCGGACACACAAAAGGAGAAGGAGCAGAAGAAACUUCAAGCGAUGCAGGCGAGCCUGUGGAGUCUCACCGCACCUGUGGCGCCGACCACAUACCUCGCGUCCGAGGCGGCACUGUCGCCGACUCAAUUGCAAUUGCUGCAGCAGAUACAAGCUGUUGGACUACAACAGCAGCUGUUGCAAGGGCAGGGCUCUACUUUAUUGCAAGGUGUAAACUAUCCAGAUAUCGGUUUCCCUGGCGCAGGGCUCGGCGGAGGCGCGGUGACCGGUGUGGGUGCCGCGGAACAACUCGGCGGCAUGCUGGCGCCGGUUUCAGUUCAGAAUCUGGCCGCACUGGCGGCAAUGGCGCCACCAGUCGUGUCGCAAGCGGCGCCCGCCGCAGCGCCGCAGCCGACCGCACCGCAGUUGUGUUGGAAUUUGUAUUGAGAAAGAGUUAAUGAGAGAUUAAAUUAACGAUAAUCGUUUUUCACACUUCAGGUCUUCUCGGGAAGACUAACAUCACAGGGUCGGCAGCGGAACCGUUGAACUCUGCGUACGCGGCGCAAUUCGGCACAGCCGCGUUCGCUGCCGCGCCGCUCGGCUCGGUG
rnacentral:misc_RNA from 1 species